CCCAUCCAUCACUGUACAUAUGUGCCCUUUGACCCACCUUCCCCUUGCCCCCUUGCCCCCUUCCCCUCUGGUAACCACCAAUCUGUUCUCCCCAUCUAUGUGUCUGUUUGUUUAUCUUCCACAUAUCAGUGAAGUCAUACAAUAAUUGUCUUUCUCUGUCUGACUUAUUUCACUUAGUAUGAUACCCUCGAGGUCCAUCCGUGUUGUCACAAAUACCAAGAUUUCAUCUUUUUUUAUGGCUGAUUAGUAUUCCAUUAUAUACACCCACCACAUCUUCUUUAUCCCUUCAUCCGUUGAUGGGCACUUAGGUUGUUUCCAAGUCUUGGCUAUUAUGAAUAAUGCUGUAAUGAACAUAGGGGUGCAUAAAUCUUUCAAAUUAGUAUUUUCAUGUUCUUUGGAUAAAUACCCAGAAGUAGAAUAGCUGGGUCAUAUGGCAUUUCUAUUUUUAAUUUUUUGAGAACUCUCCAGACUGUUUUCCAUAGUGGCUGCACUGAUUUACACUCCUUCAGCAGACACUGCUUUAUUUUUCAAAGCACUGUGUGGCAGUCAGCCUCCAGGAUGGCCUCCAAUGAUCCUUGUUUUUGGCAUAGCGUUCACACCUGUGUGUAGUCCCCUCCCACAAUGAAUCAAGCCCUAAGUGACCAACAGAAUAUGGUGUAAGGGACAGUGUAUGACUUCACAGGCCAGGUCUUUAAAUACAUGGCAGCUUCCAUCUUGGUCUCUUGGAUUGCUUAAUCUAGGGCAAGGAUUGGCAAAUUAGGGCUCAUGGGCUAAAUCCAGCCUAUAGACUGUUUUUUUAAUGCACUGUCAGUUAAGAUAGGUUUUUAUAUUUUUAAAAUAUGAUGUAAAAAAAGACGAAGAAAAUGUGACAAAGACUAGAGAUGGCUCACAAGGCUCAAAGUCACAAUGCUUAAAAUAUUUAUUAUUUAGCCCUUUACAAAAAAGUUUGCCACCCCUGCUCUGGGGAAUCCAGCCACCUUGCUGUGAGAACACUCAAAUGGCCCUGUGGAGAGGCCAAUAUGGAGAGGAACAGAGGCCUCCCACGCAGAGCCAACUCAAACUUCCUAGCCAUGAGUAAGCCACCUUGAAAGUGGAGACUCCAACCCCUGUUAAGCCGUCAGAGGACUGCAGCCUCACCUGAUAUUGGCUUAUAUCCUCAUGAAGGCACUGAGCCAGAACCAUCUAGUUAAGCCACUGCACAACUGACUCAUACAAACCACAAAAGAUAAUAAAUCAUAACUGAUGCGGGAUCGGUGAGCCGAGGAGUCGAAAGAAAGAUUUCUUAGACUCUCAAGAUCUGGCAGUAGUGCUCUUUUAUUUAGAAAAUAGUGUGGAAUAGCAUGGGGACAGGACCCAUGGGCAGUCAGAGCUUCUGCUGCCGCCGCUUCUGCUGCCCCCGCUUCUGCUGCCCCCGCUGGCAUGGGGACAGAGCCCAUGGGCAGGCAGAGCUGGUGCGAGGGGACAGGACCCACGGGCAGUCAGAGCUCCUGCUGCUGCCCCGAGUUGAGGGUUAGGGCUAAUUUUAUAAGGCAUAGGUAUAUGAUUCAUCUCUUUACAAGACAAAGGAAAGAACAUGAAAAAAAGUUAAAAUGGUAUCAGUGCGGGUGGGGUCUGGUCAUUGGGUGAUCCCAUGACUUUUAGACAAGAAUCAAAUCGGAUUAAGUAAACGUUAGAAAGGUCAGACACCACCACCCUAAACCAGUUACAUGAGAUUGCCAGACAGCAACCAACUUAAGUUCUUGCCUCUGGCAUUGACCAAGAGCCUCUAGAGAUAAGACCAUCCCCCCCUCUUCCUGGCACAGAGAGGGAGGCAUCUUCACAGAUAGACGUUUCCCUUAGAAAUGUAAAUGUUUCCCAACAAAGGGGCAAACAAAUUCCACUCCUUGGAGCCUGAAUCUCAUCUGUAGUUUUAAAACUAACCAGCCUAAAAAUCCUCAUCAUAAGCCAUUUUAAAAUUAAGCAGCCUAAAAAUCCUCAUCAAUAACUGUUGUUUUAAGUCUCUAAGUCUUGGGGUAAUUUAUUAUGCAUCCAUAGUAAAUGGAAUACAACAUAUUAUAUAUUGUCCAAAGCCCCCAAGUAAAACACUCAUUCACUUCCUUUAAUAAUUCUUGGAGGUAGGCAGAAUGUAAGCACAUAAAAAUCUUCAUCACCAUAUUGUACCUGCUGAUUUCUAAGCUCUGCAGUAACUACUAAGACUUCAGACAUCACAUUCCAAUAAAUGUGUAAGAAUCAAAUUGUUUCUUUAGUAUUCAGAAGCUUCAUCAGUUUCCUUAGCUAAAGCCUCUUCAAGUUGCAUUUGUUUUCUGCUGACAUGUGUAGGGGAGGAGGACAUUUCCUCUCCCCAAAUGGGGGUUCGUCUGGCUGGAGAACGAAUUAAAUUCACAUGAGACAGAAUAGCAAGAGAAAAUUAAACAAAGCUUUAUGAGGAACCAUGGCCUGGGGCCUUUCUUCCCGAAGGAAGAAAGGGCACCGAAGAAGUGGGGUGCACAGAGUGGUUAUAUAGCCCCCAAAUGGGGUGUUUC
rnacentral:lncRNA from 1 species